rnacentral:sRNA from 12 species
AGCCGCACCUCAAGGUGAAAGAAAAACGUUGGAUGUAGUGUUGGUAAUCGUGCAAGGGCACGGCUGAAGACAGAGAGAAACAAAAAGCAGACAA